ensembl:lncRNA
AACUAAACACAGUGACAUCAAGAUGAGGCUCUGCUAGUCCUGUGUGAUGUGUUUGGCUGCCAGUUGAGACUAACGUCCUUUAGCGUCUUCGUAAAGGUUGGGACCUCUGAAGAUGUGUACCUGGUCGUGGAGGCUGUACUGCUCCUGGGUAAACCUCCUGUUUGGGAAAAAAAGAUUUGGAGCCGGGCCCAUCCUUCCAAACAUGCCAUCAAGGUAGGUGCGGCAAUCAAAUUCCUUCUCCAGUCCUCGAGACACCUCUGAGAGAUGACGCUGAGACAAACGGCGAGAUAUGCGAGUCGAUUCUGCGACAGAGAAAUACAUUGUUUUUUCACCUGCUCCUUGCUUUCAACCGGCUCUUUGGAUUGACUCCCAAUACAAAUUUGCAUGAGUUUCUACCUUGGUUCUACAUUUGUUGGGUGAGUCUUAAAUUAAUAACACCGAGCUAUGCGUAGAUAUAUUGCUGCUGGUGUACUAUGGCUUGGUGCAACAUAUAGCACAUCACUGUUGAGACAUGUUUGUGAAAAAUUGAUCUACAUUGUUCUGACUGCACUUCAUUUUACACUUUAUUUCCACUGGAUGAAUUUAAGUUUUGUUUUUUGUUGCUUUGUGUUUUCUAAUUUAAAGUUGCUGUUAUGUUAAUAACAUCAGUGGAUUCUUUUCAUUACAUUUGGUAUAACAGAUUUAGAGAUUGGAGAUGGUAAAGUUAAAGCAUGUGUUCGUGAGUGUAAGACAUGAACUACAUGUGGUCCAGAGCGUAGGCCUACUACAUGUAUUUUAUGGAUAUCUGAAUAUUAGUGAGUGCAGGUUUAGAUCAUGAACCUUAAUACAUUGACAUCCUAAAUUACAUUAUUACUCACACGCCUGUUCAGGCGCGCACACAGCCGAGCGCUUUUCCCCCCAAACUGUAGAUAUCACAGCCCAAUAACAAGUUGCUGAUUCUGUAUUUUGAGGCUUUAAUUCCCAGCAACAAAAAAAAAUGUCUCAUCCCUUGCCAACAUUCAACGACACGCAGUUUCAGUUCCAAAUGCGUCACAUGCUGCGACAUGUCUGGUAACUGGUUAGUGUGUUUGCAAAGCAAGCCACACUAUUGUUAUUCUGUCUUAUUACACGAUUACUAUUUGCUUUUUUUGCAAUGUAAUUCAAUGGGAAAAUACGCUGACUUCAACCAUUCCGAACGUGAAUAACUCAAAGUUGUUACACAUUACACAUUAAAACCACGCGUAAGCAAGUUUCUAAAAAAAUAAAUAAAGAAUACUUGAGAGCAAAAUUCACUACGUGCACAUUAGCAUAUGCUACUUCCGGUAGCGUACUUCCUAUUGGCUGUCGAGCUUCCGGUAUCAACACGACUCGGCUGGAAUCCGGUAGCCCAAUGGCCGAAGCAAAUUUCUCAAGAUGUCUUGGACAUAUGCCGGCGAUAACAGUUGACGAUGUUCAUCGACUGGUCAGCAUAUUUUCACCCGCACCCCAAAGCAAACGAGAAAAGGGGUUUAUACUGUAUCUAUCGCAAUAUUUGCACAAUUUUGAAGUGUCUGACAAAGAUCCGGGUUCAGGAGAGGUCAGGGCAGAGUGCUACAGGUCAAUGAGGAAAAGAUCUUAUGUUACUAAUGAUUAAGUUAAUUGUACAUGUUCAUUUGAAUGCUUUGUUUAUUGAAGGGCAAUCUCCUUUCUCUUUAUUUAAUUCCCCCCUAUCCCUUGAUUUAUCAAUAAAUGAUAACGUAUUCAAACAUUUUAUCAGUUGUCUCCCUCCUUUUUGUUGCACCUCUUUAACGAGCAGGGGUUCGUAACAGGCAGUGACACGUCAUGCUAACGCGAUCCAAGCAAAGUAUACAAAAAGUUGGACCACGUCACAAUUAUUCUGCUUGCUGUUGCUCUGUGGAUAUUGAACUUGUGACCAAGCUCCCUUUGUGUACAGCCGGUUGACAGGUAGUUGAGGAAGAGGAAGAGCUCGUCAAUUGGCAGCAGUUUCUAGGGAAAAUAGUCACUGUAUUAGAUACUGUAGAUAGAAGCACUACAACACAACGAUAACAUACACAAACUAGGGUGUUUAAAAUAUGUGGUGCAUGCACAGAGCUGAGCAGAAACAAUACACAGUUAACUGCCUCUUCUGUGGCAGUCACCAGCAAAAUGUGUGAUCCACAUGUACCGAGCCGGUGGUAUAUGUUUAUUGUAAAACUUACUGUUGGUCUGUUCAUAGGGGUCUCAGUGGAUGUACUGGUGGAGAGGUUCUUCUGACCACUGGUGACUCUCACCAUUCUGCUGGUUGCCUCUUGAAUUAGAUCCCAAAAGGCCAUCAAAUGUUCAUAUGAUGGAAAUCUGCAUGCAAACAGGACAUAGCUUUUAUGGUGAUGGCAUUCAUAUUACAUUAAAACAUUCCAAUUUAAUCAUCAUUCAAAUCAAUCAUACAGAUGGGAGGCAAGUGGAAUGCUUG